ACCCAGGUGGUGGAAUUGGUAGACACGCUACUUUGAUGGGGUAGUGGACAUUAUUCCGGGUGAGUUCGAGUCUCAUCCUGGGUA
rnacentral:tRNA from 1 species